GACGAGCCACACGAACGUUAUUCGGAAUUACUGGGCUUAAAGGGUGCGUAGGCUGCGCGGAAAGUUGGGUGUGAAAUCCCUCGGCUCAACCGAGGAACUGCGCCCAAAACUACCGUGCUCGAGGAAGAUAGAGGUAAGCGGAACUUACGGUGGAGCGGUGAAAUGCGUUGAUAUCGUAAGGAACACCUGUGGCGAAAGCGGCUUACUGGGUCUUUUCUGACGCUGAUGCACGAAAGCUAGGGGAGCAAACGGGA
rnacentral:rRNA from 1 species